GUACAGAGUCAAUGUGGAGGCUAUAUACAGGGGGUAACGGUACAGAGUCAAUGUGGAGGCUAUAUACAGGGGUACCGGUACAGAGUCAAUGUGGAGGCUAUAUACAGGGGUACCGGUACAGAGUCAAUGUGGAGGCUAUAUACAGGGGGUACAGAUACAGAGACAAUGUGGAGGCUAUAUACAGGGGGUACCGGUACAGAGACAAUGUGGAGGCUAUAUACAGGGGGUACCGGUACAGAGACAAUGUGGAGGCUAUAUACAGGGGGUACAGGUACAGAGACAAUGUGGAGGCUAUAUACAGGGGGUACCGGUACAGAGUCAAUGUGGAGGCUAUAUACAGGGGGUACUGGUACAGAGUCACUGUGGAGGCUAUAUACAGGGGGUACCGGUACAGAGUCAAUGUG
ensembl:lncRNA